ACGAACGCUGGCGGCGCGCCUAACACAUGCAAGUCGAACGGAGCUUAGAGAGCUUGCUUUUUAAGCUUAGUGGCGAACGGGUGAGUAACGCGUGAGUAACCUGCCCUAGAGUGGGGGACAACAGUUGGAAACGACUGCUAAUACCGCAUAAGCCCACGACCCGGCAUCGGGAAGAGGGAAAAGGAGCAAUCCGCUUUGAGAUGGCCUCGCGUCCGAUUAGCUAGUUGGUGAGGUAACGGCCCACCAAGGCGACGAUCGGUAGCCGGACUGAGAGGUUGAACGGCCACAUUGGGACUGAGACACGGCCCAGACUCCUACGGGAGGCAGCAGUGGGGAAUAUUGCACAAUGGGGGAAACCCUGAUGCAGCGACGCCGCGUGGAGGAAGAAGGUCUUCGGAUUGUAAACUCCUGUUGUUGAGGAAGAUAAUGACGGUACUCAACAAGGAAGUGACGGCUAACUACGUGCCAGCAGCCGCGGUAAAACGUAGGUCACAAGCGUUGUCCGGAAUUACUGGGUGUAAAGGGAGCGCAGGCGGGCAGACAAGUUGGAAGUGAAAUCCAUGGGCUCAACCCAUGAACUGCUUUCAAAACUGUAUGUCUUGAGUAGUGCAGAGGUAGGCGGAAUUCCCGGUGUAGCGGUGGAAUGCGUAGAUAUCGGGAGGAACACCAGUGGCGAAGGCGGCCUACUGGGCACCAACUGACGCUGAGGCUCGAAAGUGUGGGUAGCAAACAGGAUUAGAUA
rnacentral:rRNA from 1 species